rnacentral:rRNA from 1 species
UCUUGCCUACGGGGGGCAGCAGUGGGGGAUAUUGCACAAUGGGGGAAACCCUGAUGCAGCGACGCCGCGUGUGGGAAGACGGUCCUCUGGAUUGUAAACCACUGUCCCCAGGGACGAAGAUGACGGUACCUGGGGAGGAAGCUCCGGCUAACUACGUGCCAGCAGCCGCGGUAAUACGUAGGGAGCGAGCGUUAUCCGGAAUUAUUGGGUGUAAAGGGUGCGUAGACGGGAAAACAAGUUAGUUGUGAAAUCCCUCGGCUUAACUGAGGAACUGCAACUAAAACUAUUUUUCUUGAGUGCAGGAG